GGGAGCUGUGGGCCAGGAGCAGCGGUAUUACGUAGGGUGCGGGCGUUUUACGGAAGUAUUGGGCGUAAAGAGCUCGUAGGCGGUUUGGCGCGUCUGUCGUGAAAGUCCGGGGCUUAACCCCGGAUCUGCGGGGGGUACGGGCAGACUAGAGUGCAGUAGGGGAGACGGGAAUUCCUGGUGUAGCGGUGGAAUGCGCAGAUAUCAGGAGGAACACCGAUGGCGAAGGCAGGUCUCUGGGCUGUAACUGACGCUGAGGAGCGAAAGCAUGGGGAGCGAACAGGAUUAGAUACCCUAGUAGUC
rnacentral:rRNA from 1 species